UACGUAGGGUGCAAGCGUUAAUCGGAAUUACUGGGCGUAAAGCGUGCGCAGGCGGUUUUGUAGGUCAGAUGUGAAAAUCCCCCGGGCUUAACCUGGGGAACUGCGUUUGAAACUACAAGGCUAGAGUGUGGCAGAGGGGGUGGAAUUCCGACGUGUAGCAGUGAAAUGCGUAGAGAUGUGGAGGAACACCGAUGGCGAAGGCAGCCCCCUGGGUUAACACUGACGCUCAGGCACGAAAGCGUGGGGAGCGAACAGGA
rnacentral:rRNA from 1 species